AUACGGAGGAUGCGAGCGUUAUCCGGAUUUAUUGGGUUUAAAGGGUGCGCAGGCGGGCGAUUAAGUCAGCGGUGAAAGGCUCGGGCUCAACCGGAGCAGUGCCGUUGAUACUGGUUGUCUUGAAUGCGGUCAAGGCCGGCGGAAUGUGGCGUGUAGCGGUGAAAUGCAUAGAUAUGCCACAGAACACCGAUAGCGAAGGCAGGUGGCCGGGCCUGCAGUGACGCUGAGGCACGAAAGCGUGGGGAUCGAACAGGAUUAGAUACCCUGGUAGUCCACGCUGUAAACGAUGGACACUCGUUGUCGGCGACAGACAGUCGGCGGCCAAGCGAAAGUGAUAAGUGUCCCACCUGGGGAGUACGGUCGCAAGGCUGAAACUUAAAGGAAUUGACGGGG
rnacentral:rRNA from 1 species